UGGGGAAUCUUGCGCAAUGGGCGAAAGCCUGACGCAGCCAUGCCGCGUGAAUGAUGAAGGUCUUAGGAUUGUAAAAUUCUUUCACCGGGGACGAUAAUGACGGUACCCGGAGAAGAAGCCCCGGCUAACUUCGUGCCAGCAGCCGCGGUAAUACGAAGGGGGCUAGCGUUGCUCGGAAUUACUGGGCGUAAAGGGCGCGUAGGCGGAUCGUUAAGUCAGGGGUGAAAUCCCGGGGCUCAACCUCGGAAUUGCCCUUGAUACUGGCGAUCUUGAGUAUGAGAGAGGUAUGUGGAACUCCGAGUGUAGAGGUGAAAUUCGUAGAUAUUCGGAAGAACACCAGUGGCGAAGGCGACAUACUGGCUCAUUACUGACGCUGAGGCGCGAAAGCGUGGGGAGCAAACAGG
rnacentral:rRNA from 1 species